ACUCCUACGGGAGGCAGCAGUGGGGAAUAUUGGACAAUGGGCGAAAGCCUGAUCCAGCCAUGCCGCGUGUGUGAAGAAGGUCUUCGGAUUGUAAAGCACUUUAAGUUGGGAGGAAGGGCAGUAAGUUAAUACCUUGCUGUUUUGUACGUUACCGACAGAAUAAGCACCGGCUAACUCUGUGCCAGCAGCCGCGGUAAUACAGAGGGUGCAAGCGUUAAUCGGAAUUACUGGGCGUAAAGCGCGCGUAGGUGGUUUGUUAAGUUGGAUGUGAAAGCCCCGGGGCUCAACCUGGGAACUGCAUCCAAAACUGGCAAGCUAGAGUACGGUAGAGGGUGGUGGAAUUUCCUGUGUAGCGGUGAAAUGCGUAGAUAUAGGAAGGAACACCAGUGGCGAAGGCGACCACCUGGACUGAUACUGACACUGAGGUGCGAAAGCGUGGGGAGCAAACAGGAUUAGAUA
rnacentral:rRNA from 1 species